rnacentral:rRNA from 1 species
ACCUUAUAAGAAAGCUCCGGCUAACUUCGUGCCAGCAGCCGCGGUAAUACGAGGGGAGCAAGCGUUGUUCGGAUUUAUUGGGCGUAAAGGGCUCGUAGGCGGAUUGACCAGUCAAAAUUUAAAUCCAAUGGCUUAACCAUUGAUCUGGUUUUGAUACUAUCAAUCUUGAGUUAUAUAGAGGUAAGCGGAAUUCCUGGUGUAGCGGUGAAAUGCGUAGAUAUCAGGAGGAACACCAAAGGCGAAGGCAGCUUACUGGGUAUAAACUGACGCUGAGGAGCGAAAGCGUGGGUAGCAAACAGGAUUAGAGACCCUGGUAGUCCACGCCGUAAACGAUGAGCACUUGGUGGUGGAGGAUUCGACCCCUUCACUGUCGUAGCUAACGCGUUAAGUGCUCCGCCUGGGGACUACGACCGCAAGGUUGAAACUCAAAGAAAUUGACGGGGACCCGCACAAGCGGUGGAUUAUGUGGUUUAAUUCGAUGCAACGCGAAGAACCUUACCUGGAUUUGACAUAUUUUUGAAAGCUCUGUGAAAGCAGAGCCCUUUUUACGCUUGCGUAAAAACAAUUAUACAGGUGAUGCAUGGCUGUCGUCAGCUCGUGUCGUGAGAUGUUCGGUUAAGUCCGAUAACGAGCGCAACCCCUAUCUUUAGUUGCCAGCACGUAAUGGUGGGGACUCUAGAGAAACUGCCCGGGAUAACCGGAAGGAAGGUGGGGUCGAUGUCAAGUCAGUAUGUCCCUUACAUUCA